rnacentral:ncRNA from 2 species
AUGACGGGUGCGGGAGAGCCUCGGGUCACACCGGGCACCGAAGGAGCAAGCCUCCCCGCCAAUCUCUCAGGUCCGCGUACCGCGCACGUCCG